rnacentral:misc_RNA from 1 species
CCUGUGAGCGGUGGUGGUCUCAGGUAAAACCUUUUAAUGUCUUAUCAAUUGUCGGUUAGAUCUAUAAACGUUUCGGUUUCACCCUUUUGUUUACUAUUAUCUUUGGCUUAAUCCUUUAAAUGUUUCUUUUACAACAUACAUGGUUUGAUUAUGUGUAAUUGUCAAUUAUGUUGUAUGUUUUCAUCUGUUUUAUGCUUUUUUGCUUCGGUUUGCUUGUUGAUUAUAUUUGUGCUGUGUCUAAUUUUGUGAGUUUGUCAAAUUAUGAUGAUAUUUACUUGCUCUGAUUGAUACUGUGUUGCCUAUGCAACACCAUUCUUAAUUGGUUUGUUUAAGUUUAUUUAAGUCGCUAUAUUUUUUAGGAAAGGGUCCGUCCUAAUAUGGCUGCAUAUCUCAAGUUUAACAAUCUCCUUAAUUUUGGUCCCUAAAGAGAAGGCUUUUGUUAUUUUGGUUCUUCACGAAAAGCAGAAUCAUGCAGUAAUUCCUAAUUUGAUUGGUUGUGUGUGAGAAUCUUUUUUUACUAGGAAGAAUAUAUGAUAUUAAAAGAAAGAAUAGGGAAAAAUAAUUGAACGUUUGGUGGUAUGCCAUUGAAUUUUAUUGUUAGUUCUUUUGCAAAAUUAAAACUGAAAUCUAUAUGCAUAUUAAGCAUAAUAGAUGUCAUAUAAAAUUCCAAAGGUCUAGUUAUUAUGAUACUUUGCUCCUAUUUUUGGUUGGAAAUCUCUCGGAUGUCGUUUUCUAUGUUUUGGCAAUGUGAAAAACGAGAGAAAGUAACCCUAAAUCACAUUUUCGUCUUGUCGGUUGUUGAACUUCCUCUUGCGAGGUAGCAUGUUAGUUACCCUAGCUAUGUUGUUUGUCAGAUUUGAUUUUAUUAGAUUGGUCGUGUGGGUACAUGUCAAUGUUGCUCUUAGUAGAAUGACUUAUUUUUGUUUUUGUUGAUCCUUGGAUUUGACUUUGCAAAUCCAACACAUGGAUGGAGGAUUCAUAUGGUCUUGAAAUGCCGUUUCAAACACGUCACUUUGAAUACCAUUAUUGCGUUGAAAUAAUUUAUCUAGUAUUUUGGAGUGAGUGCCGGACAAUAAUAACUUUUAUCCUAAAGCUUAUUAGGGUCAUAUGCUUAGAUUGAAAUAUUUAAGCAGUCCUAUGUAUCUGUAGCAGAAGUGAUCUUUGUAGUAUUAAAUACUUUGGGUGGUUGGAUGCUUCCUAACAUAAUCAUGCGUCUGGAUUUCUAAUGUUAAAUACUUUGGCUAACUAGGAAGUAGGAAUUCUUUGUGUGAAGCAGUACACGACAUAAUCAUGUGGCUGGCUUUCUUCGUAUUUUCCUUCCAAAGUAUGCUUGUUGCCAAAACGCUUAACACAAGUAAAAUAUUAAUUGUCAUUCUUGAGUCAGUUUGAUUUAUUUUAGUACUUGCCCCUACUUCAGUUUGUUUGAUCAAUAUUUUGAUGUGAAAAUUUACUUGUUAUAUAGUCUUAGGUUAACAUCUCAGCUUAUUUAAUCCUAAUAAAUGCUUUAAACUAAUAUACUUGUUUAGUCCUGUCUGAAAUAAUAAAAAGUUAUAGGAAACUAGUCCAAUAUUUAAUUACAACCUUCAAUGCAAUAUGACAACUCAUCUUAGAUUAACAUCUCUCUUCCUUGUCCUUGUCCAGUUUAAGCUCAGCUUUUUUAGUCUCAACAUGUUACCCAUUGUCUUUAUGAAGUUCUCUAUUAUAUGCUUUCUCAAAGUCAGUAGACCAUAUAUGAUGAUCUAUUUGCAAUCUUAAUAUCUUUUUAAGCAUUUCAUUUGCAUGGUUUGUUUUGUUUUGUCUUUCUACUUUCUUAGCUUUUAUUAUUUUGAUUGAAGAAGUUUGUCUGCCAACAUUGGAUAGAGGCCUCAAAUUCAUUUAUCAUUGGUUUGAAGAAAUUUUGUUUUAGUUUUCAAAGUUCUUUGAUUUUUUUGAGCUGACCAGGAACCUAUCAUUGUCUAGUGUCUCUUUUGAGUUCAUGGAUUUGUAUGAUAUUAACUUUGACAUGUUUGCUGCAACAGUCAGAACGGAAAAUUCAGCUAUGGAUAUGCAAGCUCUCCCGGUAAAAGAUCUUCCAUGGAAGAUUUUUAUGAGACAAGAAUUGAUGGUGUUGAUGGAGAGAUAGUUGGCCUGUUUGGAGUCUUUGAUGGUCUCUCUCUCACUACUUUUUGUGUGUGUUGAAUAUUAUCAAUAAUUAUGAAGAGCACAACAAGAUUACUUUUGCAGAAUAUGUAUUCAUGAAAUGCAGAUUUGGUGAUGGAAAAUCCACCAAAUGCAGAAUGCAUUGGUGCUCUGCUCAUUUAUUUAUUAAUUACAUGUAUCUCUCACUCGUCCCUAAUCUUAGUAUUUCUUUUUAUUGUGGAAUAAGUGCUAAUGUGUAUGUAAAAGUGUAGCAUGUUGAGUAUUAUUAUAUCUUUCCAUCUCUAGGCUUUGCAAGUUCUUGGGUUGGUUUCUUUUUGGAUUUAAAUUGAUUAUCUUCCUUGAUGAACAUGCCUUACCCUUACCAUAAGUGGUUGUUAGAUGACAUCAUACUAUUGAUAGAUUAGUACAUUAGCUGCAUUGGCUACCUUUACAUUGCUGUAGUAUCCAAUAGAGGAAAGUUGCAGAAAGGAUUUAUUCUGAUUCAGGUGUUUGACUUCAUAUCACAUCACCAUAUUUUGGCUGGAAUUUUCCCUUAAGUAUGUAGGUAGAUAAUGCAGAAAAUAUUUGUUAUGUUUUCAGGCCAUGGAGGUGCACGUGCUGCUGAAUAUGUGAAACAAAACCUCUUCAGUAAUCUGAUCAGCCAUCCAAAGUUCAUCUCUGAUACAAAAUCAGCUAUAGCUGAUGCAUACAAUCACACAGACUCAGAAUUUCUGAAAUCAGAAAAUAAUCAGAACAGAGAUGCUGGAUCAACUGCUUCCACAGCCAUUCUUGUUGGUGAUCGUUUACUUGUUGCUAAUGUUGGAGAUUCUAGAGCUGUCAUAUGCCGAGGUGGUAAUGGUAAGAUUCAGAAGAAUUACCGGUUAUAAUACUCAGGUUCUGUUAAAUAUGUUUACAUAAGAGAUUUACAGUUUCUCAUACUAUCUCAACUAAUCAGAUACAGUAGGGCUAGGAUAUACUGGUUAAUAAUUAGUAAGAGGACAAUAAAAGUGGAAAUGGUGAGACACAGAAUAUGAGUUAUGUGAUAAGGAGAUGGCAUUGGUAAAAUUGAUGGAAAAGCCUGAAGAGAGAUCUUUGUUCUUUGCCCAUUUUCUGGAGAAGAAGACUGGUUUCCAGUAUGAUAAAAUUUGGAAAUGGUAAUUGGAAUAUAUCCACUCAAUUUAGUAAGAUCAUUACCUUUUUCUAAUGCUUACUGGUUGUUACUUUCAAAAAGGAGAGUGUUGUUAUUCUCUUUUCAUCCAAAUGUGAAAGGAAAACGUCAGUAGUGGGUAGUGCUAUAGGAUAGUUAAAUAAGAAACAACAAAUGCUAUGGGAUGGAGUGUUAAAGAAUUUUUUUUUUUUUAUAAAGAAAAAAUCUUCUACCAUUUGGCAGUUUUAUAAUUAUAUGCCGGAAAGGUUAGACCUCUGUGCCUUUUGAGGACUUUGUUGAAACAUUUUCAGAUUACUUUCUUAUUUAGUUGUUUCACAAUGAAGUUGUUAAAUUUUCUUGCCCUCUUAUGCAGCUAUUGCUGUUUCGAGAGAUCACAAGCCUGACCAAACUGACGAGCGGCAACGGAUUGAGGAUGCUGGAGGGUUUGUGAUGUGGGCAGGGACUUGGAGAGUUGGUGGAGUUCUUGCUGUCUCCCGAGCAUUUGGUGAUAGGCUGUUGAAGCAGUAUGUUGUUGCUGAUCCAGAAAUUCAGGAGGAAAAGAUUGAUAGCUCGCUUGAGUUUCUUAUCCUUGCAAGUGAUGGAUUAUGGGAUGUUGUCACCAAUGAGGUUUGUUGUGAUACCUUUUGUUUCCUAAUGCGGUUUCAUACCAUGGAGGCUGGAUUUCGCUAGAAUUUGAUUAGAUUUCUUUGCAUUUAAACUAAAUUGAGGACAGAGAAUGGGCUGUUCAUUGUUGCCAGCGCCAUCUGAUGUAUAUUUUUUCUCAGGAAGCUGUUGACAUGACCAAGCCAGUCGAUGACCCAGAGCAGGCAGCAAAGAGGUUAUUGCAGGAGGCAUACCAGAGAGGCAGUGCAGACAAUAUUACCUGUGUUGUUGUCCGCUUCUUGGCCAAUCAAGGUGCUACUUCUUGUGGUGCUGUCGGUGUUACUUCUGUGUGAGCAUGCUGUACUGUUGCUGUGCAAAGGGUUUAGUUUUGCAGCUAAUGGGAGAUAUUGGGGUAGAAUUCUGACGGGUAUAGCUAGUCAGGGAAACACAACGGUGGCAUCCUGCUUUGCUAGGAUAGAAAAGAUGGACAAACACAAUGGGCUGCUAAUGCGUAGUAUUACAUUACACAUUUCAGCCUCUAGGAGUAGAACCGUAUCCGAAUCUUAGUUUUCAGUCUUUUGGAAAAUUUGGUCUUGUUAAUCUGUAAAGAGUCUGAAGACUUACCUCUGUGUUGUAAAUGUGCUUUAAACUUCCUUUUGUUGCUUUUGUUCAAUGCUUUUGUAUUUACGGCUUCCGUUCAAUUGUAGCUGGUAAUCCUUCCCUUCAAUUUUGGCUCAGUUGUGCACUGUCGCCUUUUUGAAUCUAUUGUGAAGCUAUAAAUGUGAGAAUAGUCCAGUUUUUGGUACUUCAAAGUAUCGUUGGUAUGCCAAGGAGAAGAUUUGAGAAGUUCAAUCUGUGGUUCCUUGGCUCAGGGCUCUUCUCAGCUUCAAUUCCUGGUAGUGUCUGUAGAUCUUCACAAGAAAAAUAAAUAAAUAAAAGCAGCAGAAGAAGGAGAAGAGAAACAUGGGUUGAUA